rnacentral:rRNA from 1 species
UGGGGAAUUUUGGACAAUGGGGGAAACCCUGAUCCAGCCAUCCCGCGUGUGCGAUGAAGGCCUUCGGGUUGUAAAGCACUUUUGGCAGGAAAGAAACGUCGUGGGUUAAUACCCCGCGAAACUGACGGUACCUGCAGAAUAAGCACCGGCUAACUACGUGCCAGCAGCCGCGGUAAUACGUAGGGUGCAAGCGUUAAUCGGAAUUACUGGGCGUAAAGCGUGCGCAGGCGGUUCGGAAAGAAAGAUGUGAAAUCCCAGAGCUUAACUUUGGAACUGCAUUUUUAACUACCGGGCUAGAGUGUGUCAGAGGGAGGUGGAAUUCCGCGUGUAGCAGUGAAAUGCGUAGAUAUGCGGAGGAACACCGAUGGCGAAGGCAGCCUCCUGGGAUAACACUGACGCUCAUGCACGAAAGCGUGGGGAGCAAAACAGGAUUAGAUACCCUGGUAGUCCACGCCCUAAAACGAUGUCAACUAGCUGUUGGGGUCUUCGGACCUUGGUAGCGCAGCUAACGCGUGAAGUUGACCGCCUGGGGAGUACGGUCGCAAGAUUAAAACUCAAAUGAAUUGAC